rnacentral:rRNA from 1 species
GAUGAACGCUGGCGGCGUGCCUAAUACAUGCAAGUCGAACGGAAGGUAGCAAUACCUUUAGUGGCGAACGGGUGAGUAACGCGUUGGUGACCUGCCCCGAAGCGUGGGAUAACAGUCCGAAAGGAUUGCUAAUACCGCAUGUGGUCCAAGAGAUUAGAGGCUCAUGGACUAAAGGAGACAUUCACUUCGGGAGGGGCCUGCGUCCCAUCAGCUAGUUGGUAAGGUAACGGCUUACCAAGGCGAUGACGGGUAGGGGACCUGAGAGGGUGGCCCCCCACAAUGGAACUGAAACACGGUCCAUACACCUACGGGAGGCAG